rnacentral:misc_RNA from 1 species
GAUGAAGAACGUAGCGAAAUGCGAUAAGUAAUGCGAAUUGCAGAAUCCGUGAGUCAUCGAGUCUUUGAACGCACAUUGCGCCCUCUGGUAUUCCGGAGGGCAUGCCUGUCCGAGCGUCAUUGCUGCCCUCAAGCACGGCUUGUGUGUUGGGCCCCGCCCCCCGAUCCCGGGGGGCGGGCCCGAAAGGCAGCGGCGGCACCGCGUCCGGUCCUCGAGCGUAUGGGGCUUUGUCACCCGCUCUGUAGGCCCGGCCGGCGCUUGCCGAUCAACCAAACUUUUUUCCAGGUUGACCUCGGAUCAGGUAGGGAUACCCGCUGAACUUAAGCAUAUCAAUAAGCGGAGGA